rnacentral:tRNA from 1 species
GCCUGGGUGGCUCAGUUGGUUAAGCGUCUGACUUCGGCUCAGGUCAUGAUCUCGCGGUUCGUGGGUUCCAGCCCCGCGUCAGGCU